rnacentral:rRNA from 1 species
AAAGGUCACGGCAAGACGAGCCGUUUAGCAUUAUGAUAGGUGCCAGGUGGAAAUAAAGUAAUUUAUGUAGCUGAGGCAUACUAACAGACCGUAGACUUGAAC